UACGGGGAAGGCAAGCGUUAUUCAUCGUUAUUGGGCGUAAAGGGUACGUAGAUAGAUUAUAAAAUUAUGUUUUUAAUUAAAUCCAAAAAAAGUAUUUUUGAAAAUUUUAUGUUAAUUAUAAUCUAAAAAUUAAAAAAAUUUAUUUUAUUAGUUUAAUUUUUUUUUGAGUUAAGCAAGGAAUAGUAGUAUUUUUAAAGGAGGGAUGAAAUCUUAAGAUAAUAAAAAGACUAUCAAGAAGCGAAGGCGACUAUUUAUUGUUUUUACUGACAUUGAGGUACAAAAGCAUAGGGAGCAAACAGG
rnacentral:rRNA from 1 species